UACGUAGGUGGCGAGCGUUGUCCGGAAUUACUGGGUGUAAAGGGCGUGUAGGCGGGGAAGCAAGUCAGAUGUGAAAUUCCGGGGCUCAACUCCGGCGUUGCAUCUGAAACUGUUUUUCUUGAGUGCUGGAGAGGAAAGCGGAAUUCCUAGUGUAGCGGUGAAAUGCGUAGAUAUUAGGAGGAACACCAGUGGCGAAGGCGGCUUUCUGGACAGUAACUGACGCUGAGGCGCGAAAGCGUGGGGAGCAAACAGGAUUAGAUACCCUGGUAGUCCACGCCGUAAACGAUGGAUACUAGGUGUAGGAGGUAUCGACCCCUUCUGUGCCGGAGUUAACACAAUAAGUAUCCCACCUGGGGAGUACGGCCGCAAGGUUGAA
rnacentral:rRNA from 1 species